CCUCCCCCCCGGCUCCUACCAUCAACUGGCGCUGCUUGUUGCCCAUUGGCUGGAACAGUGUUUUGUGGCGUGUGCACUACAUUCUGUUUGCUCUCCAUUUACACAGCCAGGGCUGUGUAUUGACACCUGAAUGUGUUUUAACAAACACAGAAAAUAGAGAGCUAGGUGACCGUGAGGAGAUAUUCACUGAAUUUGGUAAAUAGUGUUUU